GUGACUGCAGAGAGUCUGAACACCUUCUGGCCACUGCCAGUCUUUGGGUCAAAUUAGAUUAGGUGUGGGAAAACAGUGUAAGAGAGAGCUAAGGAGCCACAAAUAAGGCAGAGCUCAAGCAAGGGCACUAGUGGAUGAAGUCAGUGCAGUCCAGUGAACAGAACAGAGGGCAGAGUUCAGAUGGGCGAGAGACUUGAAUUUGGCUGCAGACCAAGCGCUGAGAUAACACUUUUCCUCUGUAGGAAGCAAGAGCCAAAAUGACUGGAGGCACAUCAGCAAGUUUUUUUCUGAGAUCAUGGUAACAGAAUAUUAUCAGAAGAUCACAGGGUUUUGCUUGGA